rnacentral:rRNA from 1 species
AAUAAGCUAAAUAAGAGCGUAUGGGGAAUGCCUAGGCUCUCAGAGGCGAUGAAGGACGUGAUAAGCUGCGAUAAGCUUCGGUUAGUGGCACAUACAUUUACCCGAAGAUUUCCGGAUGGGGCAACCCAGCAUAUUGAAGAUAUGUUAUCCGUAAGGAGGCGAACCCGGAGAGCUGAAACAUCUAAGUACCCGGAGGAGAAGAAAAUAAUAAUGAUUCCGCUAGUAGUGGCGAGCGAACGCGGAAUAGCCCAAACCAAUAUUGUUACGGCAAUAUUGGGGUUGUAGGACCACGAUAUUUGAGUUGUAAUGAAUUAGAAUUGUUUGGAAAGACAACUAGAGAGGGUGAUAGUCCCGUAUAAGUAAAGAGCAACA